rnacentral:lncRNA from 1 species
GUGUUAUUUGUUUGGUUGCGUGGGAUGGUUGGUGCAUUUAUGGUUAGUUUCAUAGUUUUUUUAUUGUGGAUUUGAUCACUUCGAGAUUUUUUAUAUUUUUCCCGUCUACACAUAGGUUUAGUUUUACAGGGCAUAGCUAUUUGUUAUUGUGUUUUGUAUAUGUGUGUGUUGUUGUUGGAUGUGCAUCUUACCUAUACACAGGCCAUGGUAGCUUGCAGAAACAACAAAAAUAAUUAGCUGGGACCAUUGUCGGGCUGAGUUGGCAUACUAACAUGCACAAUACACUUACGUGUUAAAGGAAACCAUUUGUCUGCCCCCCCUAUUUUUGUCCUUCUCCCACCUUAUCUAUCUCUCC